rnacentral:rRNA from 1 species
CCUACGGGAGGCAGCAGUGAGGAAUAUUGGUCAAUGGACGCAAGUCUGAACCAGCCAUGCCGCGUGCAGGAAGACGGCUCUAUGAGUUGUAAACUGCUUUUGUACGAGGGUAAACGCAGAUACGCGUAUCUGUCUGAAAGUAUCAUACGAAUAAGGAUCGGCUAACUCCGUGCCAGCAGCCGCGGUAAUACGGAGGAUUCAAGCGUUAUCCGGAUUUAUUGGGUUUAAAGGGUGCGUAGGCGGUUCGAUAAGUUAGAGGUGAAAUCCCGGGGCUCAACUCCGGUACUGCAUCUGAUACUGUCGGGCUAGAGAUUAGUUGCGGUAGGCGGAAUGUAUGGUGUAGCGGUGAAAGGAAUAGAGAUCAUACAGAACACCGAUUGCGAAGGCAGCUUACAAAACUACGACUGACGUGGAGGCACGAAAGCGUGGGGAGCAAACAGGAUUAGAUACCCGGUAGUC